GAAAACUGGACGUUUUGAAUAUUAUAACGCAGUGACUCUGGAAUCAGAUUCUCCCUUCUCCCCAUGGUUGCUGCUUGUUGAGUCAUCUAUCUGUUCCGUGGCUUUUCCAAACGACUUCUGCCAAGACUGCCUUCUCGUGGGGUCACCAGUCUCUCUCCUGCUGUCACAGCAGUCAGUGACCUGGCGGAUUUUAAGUGUCAAAUUUGACAGCCUUUCUUCAGUAAGCAUUCCCCAGAAGAUGUGAGAUAGGAAGCUGUGAUGCACCAACGGGAAAAGAAUACACACAAGCAACUGCAAGGAAACCCACAGGCUCACCUCACGCACAGUAAAAAGAGAUGAACAAUAGGUGGACUGUUCAUCACUCCCACACUCACUUGCCCAACCUUGUUCUUCUACUUUUCUUGCUUGUAGCAUCAUGCUCUGUAAAUUCAGUGCAUUUUCAUUCUGUGAUAGAAACAGCGACUGCCUGCCCCGCAUAACGCACUUUGAGAAAGUAGGAAAGAAAAUUGAUGCCUUGCGAAUCCCAUGACCUCAAAGACCUUCACAGAAAGAGUCCCAGCCUGGUCAAUGGCCAACUGUAACACCAGCCAUUCAGAAGAGGCAGAAAAUUUAGACAGUAUGUAUAUUGUCUGCCAACACCCACUUUACUCUGUAAAGUAGAUGUUGAAAAUAUUAAUAAUGAAGUAAAGCUUUAUCAUUUCAUAAGAGCAUUAGUUAGGCAAUUGUCUUAAAGCAUAAACUCAAGUUAGACUGCCUGGGGUUCAAUUUCAUUUGAUUUUGUCUCUUACUGGUUGUGGGACCUGACACCAGUUGCUUAACUUCCAUGUACCUUGGUUUCCUUGUCUAUAAAAUAGGGAGAAAGACAGUAGGCGCCUCAUAUGUUAUUGUGUUGACAUUAAAUCAGUUGCUAUAUGUAAAGUACUUAGAACAACACCUGGCACAAAGUAAACACUAUAUAACUACUUAAUGACUAAAAAACUAUCACAAAUGAUACAUUGAUAUAUAAGAAAGCCAAGUAUCUUUUUUUUUAAUAAUUUUUAAUUUUUCAAUUGCAGUUAACAUACAAUAUUAGUUUAAGGUGUACAACCCAGUGCUUAAACAUUUAUAUAACUUAUGAAGUGAUUGCACCAAUAAAUCUACUACCCAUUCUGA